GAAUAUUAGUCAAUGAUCGAAAGAUUGAUCUAGUUACUUAAAAUGAUGAAAAUUAUAAUAAUAAUAAAAAAAAAUAAAAAUAAUAAUGAAGAAUAUAAAAUCAAUAUAUAUAUAAAAAAUAAUGAUAUAAAAGAUAUAUAUAAGUCUUAACUAAAAUUAGUGCCAGCAGUUGCGGCUAAACUGAGGAGGCGAACGUUAAUCAUUAAUGGCUUAAAGGAUCCGUAGAACGAAUAUAUAAAUAAUAUAUAGAGUUAAAUAAAAUAAAUAAUGUAUAAUUAUAAUGAGAGAUGAAAUGCAAUGAAAAUAAUUAGACAGCGAAAACUGAAGAGAAUAUUUAUAAUUUAACUGACGUUGAGGGAUGAAAGCAUAAGUAAUAAACCGGAUUAGAUACCCGAGUAAUUUAUGCUGUAAACGAUGAAUACUAAAUAAAUAAAUAAAAAUAAAAGCGAAAGUAAAGUAUUCCGCCAGGUGAGUAUAUUUGCAAGAAUGAAAUCCAAGACAAUAGACGGUUACAGGUGUAGGCAGUGGAUUGUGUUAUUUAAU
rnacentral:rRNA from 1 species